AGGAGGUCCCGCCUGCCCUGUGACCAAAAGUUUAACGGCCGCGGUAUUUUAACCGUGCAAAGGUAGCGCAAUCAAUUGUCUUUUAAAUGAAGACCUGUAUGAAUGGCAUAACGAGGGUUUAACUGUCUCUUUUUUCAGGUCAAUGAAACUGAUCUGUCCGUGCAGAAGCGGACAUAUUAACACAAGACGAGAAGACCCUAUGGAGCUUUAGACGCCCACCAACCGCGAAAAGCAGCCUACCUUAACAGAUGCUCUAAACAACGCGGUCCUGGUACAAACGUCUUCGGUUGGGGCGACCGCGGAGGAGAACAAAGCCUCCGAGAGGAAUGGGAACAAACCCUAAAACCAAGAGCCACAGCUCUAAGUCACAAAAAAUUUGACCGACAAUGAUCCGGCUUACUGCCGAUCAACGGACCAAGUUACCCUAGGGAUAACAGCGCAAUCCCCUCCCAGAGUCCAUAUCGACGAGGGGGUUUACGACCUCGAUGUUGGAUCAGGACAUCCUAAUGGUGCAGCCGCUAUUAAGGGUUCGUUUGUUCAACGAUUAAAGUCCUACGUGAUCUG
rnacentral:rRNA from 1 species